AGAGUUUGAUCCUGGCUCAGGAUGAACGCUGGCGGCGUGCCUAAUACAUGCAAGUCGAACGGUUGGUCGCAAGACCGAUAGUGGCGAACGGGUGAGUAACGCGUUGGUGACCUGCCCUAAAGCGAGGGAUAACAGUCCGAAAGGGCUGCUAAUACCGCAUAAUCUGGUGGACGGCUAGAGAGCUACCAGGAAAGCCGAAAGGCGCUAAAGGAGGUGCCUGCGUCCCAUCAGCUAGUUGGUAAGGUAACGGCUUACCAAGGCGAUGACGGGUAGGGGACCUGAGAGGGUGACCCCCCACAAUGGAACUGAAACACGGUCCAUACACCUACGGGUGGCAGCAGUAGGGGAUAUUGGUGAAUGGGCGAAAGCCUGAACCAGCAACGCCGCGUGUGCGAAGAAGGCCUUCGGGUUGUAAAGCACUUUUACACGGGAAGAGGAAGGACGGUACCGUGCGAAUAAGCCUCGGCUAACUACGUGCCAGCAGCCGCGGUAAAACGUAGGAGGCGAGCGUUAUCCGGAUUUACUGGGUGUAAAGCGCGUGCAGGCGGUUGGAUAAGUUGGGUGUGAAAGCUCCUGGCUCAACUGGGAGAGGUUGCUCAAGACUGUUCGACUAGAGCGUGGUAGGGGAAGGCGAAAUUCCGGGUGUAGUGGUGAAAUGCGUAGAUAUCCGGAGGAACACCAGUGGCGAAAGCGGCCUUCUAGACCAUGACUGACGCUCAGACGCGAAAGCUAGGGGAGCAAACGGGAUUAGAGACCCCGGUAGUCCUAGCCGUAAACGAUGUGAACUUGGCGGCGGGUGGGUAAAACUACUCGGUGCCGAAGCAAACGCGAUAAGUUCACCACCUGGGGACUACGGCCGCAAGGUUAAAACUCAAAGGAAUUGACGGGGGCCCGCACAAGCAGCGGAGCGUGUGGUUUAAUUCGAUCUACACGAAGAACCUUACCAGGGUUUGACAUGCAAGUGGUAGAGAAGCGAAAGUGGAUCGACCCUUCGGGGAGCUUGCACAGGUGUUGCAUGGCUGUCGUCAGCUCGUGUCGUGAGAUGUUCGGUUAAGUCCGCUAACGAGCGCAACCCUCGCCGCGUGUUACAAGUGUCACGCGGGACUGCCAGUCUUAAGUUGGAGGAAGGUGGGGAUGACGUCAAGUCAGCAUGACCUUUAUGUCCUGGGCUACACACACGCUACAAUGGCCGGUACAAUGGGUAGCGAAGCCGCGAGGCGGAGCCAAUCCACAAAGCCGGUCUCAGUUCAGAUUGCAGGCUGCAACCCGCCUGCAUGAAGACGGAGUUGCUAGUAACCGCAGGUCAGCUAUACUGCGGUGAAUACGUUCCCGGGCCUUGUACACACCGCCCGUCACGUCAUGGGAGCUGGUAACACCUGAAGUCGGUAUCCUAACCGCAAGGAGGGAGCCGCCGAGGGUGGGGCUGGUGACUGGGACGAAGUCGUAACAAGGUA
rnacentral:rRNA from 1 species